rnacentral:rRNA from 1 species
UGAGACACGGUCCAAACUCCUACGGGAGGCAGCAGCGAGGAAUAUUGGUCAAUGGACGAGAGUCUGAACCAGCCAAGUAGCGUGCAGGAUGACGGCCCUAUGGGUUGUAAACUGCUUUUAUAAGGGAAUAAAGUGAGCCUCGUGAGGCUUUUUGCAUGUACCUUAUGAAUAAGGACCGGCUAAUUCCGUGCCAGCAGCCGCGGUAAUACGGAAGGUCCGGGCGUUAUCCGGAUUUAUUGGGUUUAAAGGGAGCGUAGGCCGGAGAUUAAGCGUGUUGUGAAAUGUAGACGCUCAACGUCUGCACUGCAGCGCGAACUGGUUUCCUUGAGUACGCACAAAGUGGGCGGAAUUCGUGGUGUAGCGGUGAAAUGCUUAGAUAUCACGAAGAACUCCGAUUGCGAAGGCAGCUCACUGGAGCGCAACUGACGCUGAAGCUCGAAAGUGCGGGUAUCGAACAGGAUUAGAUACCCUGGUAGUCCGCACGGUAAACGAUGGAUGCCCGCUGUUGGUCUGAAUAGGUCAGCGGCCAAGCGAAAGCAUUAAGCAUCCCACCUGGGGAGUACGCCGGCAACGGUGCAACUCAA